rnacentral:rRNA from 1 species
UACGUAGAGUGCGAGCGUUAAUCGGAAUUACUGGGCGUAAAGCGUGCGCAGGCGGUUCGUUGUGUCGGCGGUGAAAGCCCCGGGCUCAACCUGGGAAUGGCCGUUGAAACUGGCGAACUGGAGUGUGGCAGAGGGGGGUGGAAUUCCGCGUGUAGCAGUGAAAUGCGUAGAGAUGCGGAGGAACACCGAUGGCGAAGGCAGCCCCCUGGGCUGACACUGACGCUCAGGCACGAAAGCGUGGGGAGCAAACAGG